CCUACGGGUGGCGGCAGUGAGGAAUAUUGGUCAAUGGCCGAGAGGCUGAACCAGCCAAGUCGCGUGAGGGAAGACGGCCCUACGGGUUGUAAACCUCUUUUGUAGGGGAGCAAAGCGAGCCACGUGUGGUUCAUUGAGAGUACCCUAAGAAAAAGCAUCGGCUAACUCCGUGCCAGCAGCCGCGGUAAUACGGAGGAUGCGAGCGUUAUCCGGAUUUCUUGGGUUUAAAGGGUGAGCAGGCGGAGGUGCAAGUCAGCGGUCAAAUUGCGGGGCUCAACCCCGUACUGCCGUUGAAACUGCAUGCCUUGAGUGCGCGAGAGGUAUGCGGAAUGCGUGGUGUAGCGGUGAAAUGCAUAGAUAUCACGCAGAACUCCGAUUGCGAAGGCAGCAUACCGGCGCGCAACUGACGCUCAUGCACGAAAGCGUGGGUAUCGAACAGGAUUAGAUACCCCAGUAGUC
rnacentral:rRNA from 1 species